GAUGAACGCUGGCGGCGUGCUUAACACAUGCAAGUCGAACGGACCUUCGGGUCAGUGGCGGACGGGUGAGUAACGCGUGAGAAUCUGCCCUCAGGAGGGGGAUAACGGCUGGAAACGGCCGCUAAUACCCCAUAUGCCGCGAGGUGAAAUGAAUUUCGCCUGAGGAUGAGCUCGCGUCUGAUUAGCUAGUUGGUGGGGUAAAGGCCUACCAAGGCGACGAUCAGUAGCUGGUCUGAGAGGAUGAUCAGCCACACUGGGACUGAGACACGGCCCAGACUCCUACGGGAGGCAGCAGUGGGGAAUUUUCCGCAAUGGGCGAAAGCCUGACGGAGCAACGCCGCGUGAGGGAUGAAGGCCUC
rnacentral:rRNA from 1 species